CAGCUAGAGAUGCACGCUACUCCCCCCCAGCAGAAACACAGAGCCUACGCAGUAUACACACACGCUGCUGCCACCUCUGCCCAGUCCCACGGAGAACCAACACCCAGCACACUGCUUGUGGCUGACAGCCCCGGCUUGUCCGCGCUGUGGGUUGGUGUAGGGUGAUGCCCCCCGGCAGAGGUUGCGGUGCCCAGCAGUGUGGGGAAGUUGAAGAGAAGACUUUGAACUUCCUCUGUUUACCAGAAAAGAAAGAUCAAAAUGUAUGGCCAUUCUGAUGACUGGUGAUUUCCAGACUGUGUGGGAAAGAUUCACUUCAGAGGAGUUUGGUUUCAGCUGGUCAGAUAAUGGAAGAAAGACACAGCUUGAAUGAAACAAAAAUCUCUUUCCUACGAGAUGAGCUCACUAGGCCUCACUGAGGCCAAGCUUCUCAAAUGCCUCCAUUAAUGCCUCCUUGGAAGAGGGAGAGGAAGGUGUGAGAGGAAGAGGAUGAGCAGACACUUGGAAAGAUGUAACGAACUCUUG
ensembl:lncRNA